GGGUAUAGUAGCAAUACUAGAGACCGGCGCACGGGUGCGUAACGCGUAUGCAAUCUACCUUUCACAGAGGGAUAGCCCAGAGAAAUUUGGAUUAAUACCUCAUAGUAUGCAGAGUUGGCAUCAACACUGCAUUAAAGUCACAACGGUGAAAGAUGAGCAUGCGUCCCAUUAGCUAGUUGGUAAGGUAACGGCUUACCAAGGCAACGAUGGGUAGGGGUCCUGAGAGGGAGAUCCCCCACACUGGUACUGAGACACGGACCAGACUCCUACGGGAGGCAGCAGUGAGGAAUAUUGGUCAAUGGGCGCAAGCCUGAACCAGCCAUGCCGCGUGCAGGAUGACGGUCCUAUGGAUUGUAAACUGCUUUUGUACGGGAAGAAACACUACUUCGUGAAGUAGCUUGACGGUACCGUAAGAAUAAGGAUCGGCUAACUCCGUGCCAGCAGCCGCGGUAAUACGGAGGAUCCAAGCGUUAUCCGGAAUCAUUGGGUUUAAAGGGUCCGUAGGCGGUUUUGUAAGUCAGUGGUGAAAGCCCAUCGCUCAACGGUGGAACGGCCAUUGAUACUGCAAGACUUGAAUUAUUAGGAAGUAACUAGAAUAUGUAGUGUAGCGGUGAAAUGCUUAGAGAUUACAUGGAAUACCAAUUGCGAAGGCAGGUUACUACUAAUGGAUUGACGCUGAUGGACGAAAGCGUGGGUAGCGAACAG
rnacentral:rRNA from 1 species